UGUUUCUUAAUUCAAAGAACAAAUUUUGAAAUUAUUAAAUACUCAGCAAUUUAAAAAAUAUUCAAAUUUUGCAAAAUGUGCCACUAAUUUGAAAAGUGUUCGCAGAUUCCGGAAAAGAUUCAUGAGUUUGGAAAGAAAAUUUGGAAANGAUUUAUUAAGUUCUAUAACCAUCGUAGGCUUUUUGGGCCUACGUGCCGAAUAGGAUCCCACUUGAUCCUUGUG
rnacentral:lncRNA from 1 species